rnacentral:rRNA from 1 species
UACAGAGGGUGCGAGCGUUAAUCGGAAUUACUGGGCGUAAAGCGUGCGUAGACGGUAAUGUAAGUCAGAUGUGAAAGCCCCGGGCUCAACCUGGGAAUUGCAUUUGAGACUGCAUUGCUUGGGUGCGGAAGAGGGAAGCGGAAUUUCCGGUGUAGCGGUGAAAUGCGUAGAUAUCAUUUGGAACGCCAAUGGUGAAAACAGGUAGCUGGGGAUGUGCUGACGCUGAGACACGAAAGCCAGGGGAGCGAACGGG